rnacentral:misc_RNA from 1 species
UGCAUCUUAAGGCUCCGCCUUGUGUUGAGAUUUCCUGGCAAGGAAUUCUCCAAGCAUCUGGGCGUCUGUCGUGCCUGAACCGCAACACACUGCGAGUAGGGAAGUCGGCUGGCGCCACGCAAACCGUCUA